CCUGACCUCUAGCUUUCUAUAUAAAUAAUACUCCCCCUCAAGAAGCUUAAACACAACAAGUUCUAUAGGGUAUAUUUCGUAGGCAUUUUGCCAGCAAAUUGGUGGUCUUAUCCUGAAUUAAGGCGGGGUUGCUGGUGAGUUCGGGAUAAGAGAAGAACUAAUGCUCUUUCUAUAGCACCGGGCGGAGUUAGAGUGUCGGGAGCGGGUUCGGCAAAACUCAGUAGCUUUGAUUCGAACCUUGUUUUUGUCUUAAAAAUUCAUUGAGUAUAUAUAUAUAUAUAUAUAUAUAUAUAUAUUAUUAAUUUAGAACUCAAUAACUUAAAGAGAUUAGAAUCUCGAAUUCAUAAACUUUAAAUCUCGGCUUUCGCCUGUGAUAGCACCAACCAAAAGUAGAUUCUCGACAUCUUAGAACAGAAUGGAUCCCCUUGCUUUUCGGUGCUUCCUCUUUGAUCCCGACCACUCUUUUCAUUUGGAACAAGGUAGCGGCGGAGCCACAUGUAGAAAGGGGUGUCAAAUGACAAUUAUAGGUACAUAAAUAUUGUGUUGACUCCACUUAAUUUUCUGGUAUAUUUACUUUUAUAUAUUUUGAUAUUCCUUGAUAAAAAUUCUGGCUGCUCCACGAAAAAAGGGACGAAUCAUAAAAUUGAUAAUGGAUUUUAUAUGGUGAUGGAGUGCGGCCCUUUACCCGGCCUUGUGUGAAUGCGAGAUAUUUCGUGCAUGGGACUGCCUAUGGGUGAGUGGUUUCCAUGCUAUGCUUGACAAGUGAGCAGUCCUUUUGCUGUUAACCUUUGUCUCAUUGUCUGUUCGACCUUGAAAAUAUGAGCUCAUCAUCUACUCACAAACCCUAGCUACUUGAUUACUAUUAGUAACAAACACGUCUCCACUUACCGUGAUAGUGAAGGAGGUGGGGGUAUAUCUCUACUUUAAUUCUUGAUUUUGCAUUUAAAGUUGUAGCAAAAAAACUCUAAAUAUAUGAAUAUAGGCAUUGAAAGUCUAAGCAUAUAGGUGAAAAUAGUGCUACCUACUAAUUAUUUGCAUCGAUAUAUAUAAUUAAACAUAAAAAGAGGUACUCCCUUCGUUCUACUUUACGUUUCGAUGUGAAUUCGAAUAGAAUUUUUAUUUUUGUUGAAGGGGAUGUAGCCCCUUAAUUAGACUGAAGAUACGAAACCACCUGUUCAAAAAUAGUAGUAAAAGAUUUUGAUACUAUCAGUAUAUUUUAACAUGUUUUAGAAGGUAAUCUUUCUUAUUUUAUUGGUUAUUCAUCUCACUUUUUAUCCAUGAUUACCUAUAGUUUAUCAUUUAAGUAAUCUAAUAGUGUAAAUAUUUGCUUUAAAAAUAAAACAAGAAUUAAGAAGAUUAAGGAGAAAAUAGUCAAAUACUCCUAGCUAGUUGAUGCUUUCUUUACUAAUUAAGGUCGAACAGACAAUGAAUCUAAGGUGAAAACAAGUAAAGAGACUGCUGAUUUGUCAAGGUUUGCACUGAAAUCAACACCAAUGCUUGAAGCUCAGAACCAGAAACUUAUGGUGUUUAGUUAGACUUUGACAUACUCCAUCAACAAGAAGUUUUUUGUCUGUCUCUUUCUCUUUAUCAUUGUAUUUUUAACUUGUUAUCAUAGGUAUUUGUCGUAUUUUCAAGUUGCUAAUAUUAUUUUUUAAAGGAUGAUUAUUGUAGUUAUUUUCUUUUGUGUUACAUGAUAUAUAGUGUAAAGUUUAGUGUACCGAAGUUAAACCCAUGUAUAUUCAGUCUUCUUGGACAAUCUUUAUGUACGUGGGAAACGACAUAUAAAUGAUCAAAACUUCAUUGAAAUGAA